rnacentral:rRNA from 1 species
AGAGUUUGAUCAUGGCUCAGGAUGAACGCUAGCUACAGGCUUAACACAUGCAAGUCGAGGGGCAGCAGGGUCUGUGCUUGCACAGACCGCUGGCGACCGGCGCACGGGUGAGUAACACGUAUCCAACCUGCCAUGAACUCCGGGAUAGCCCUCUGAAAGGAGGAUUAAUACCGGAUGUGACCGCUGCGGGACAUCCCGCAGCGCUUAAAGAUUCAUCGGUUCAUGAUGGGGAUGCGUCUGAUUAGCUUGUUGGCGGGGUAACGGCCCACCAAGGCACCGAUCAGUAGGGGUUCUGAGAGGAAGGUCCCCCACAUAGGAACUGAGACACGGUCCUAACUCCUACGGGAGGCAGCAGUGAGGAAUAUUGGUCAAUGGGCGUAAGCCUGAACCAGCCAAGUAGCGUGAGGGACGACGGCCCUACGGGUUGUAAACCUCUUUUAUGCGGGAAUAACGGGAGUCACGUGUGACUUUGUGCAUGUACCGCAUGAAUAAGCAUCGGCUAAUUCCGUGCCAGCAGCCGCGGUAAUACGGAAGAUGCGAGCGUUAUCCGGAUUUAUUGGGUUUAAAGGGAGCGUAGGCGGGCGCUUAAGCCUGCGGUCAAAUGUCAGCGCCCAACGCUGGCCUGCCGUGGGAACUGGGUACCUUGAAUGUGCACAAGGAAGGUGGAAUUCGUGGUGUAGCGGUGAAAUGCUUAGAUAUCACGAAGAACUCCGAUUGCGAAGGCAGCCUUCUGGGGCAUGAUUGACGCUGAGGCUCGAAAGUGCGGGUAUCGAACAGGAUUAGAUACCCUGGUAGUCCGCACAGUAAACGAUGAGUGCCCGCUCUCGGCGGUAUAAUGUCGGGGGCCAAGCGAAAGCAUUAAGCACUCCACCUGGGGAGUACGCCGGCAACGGUGAAACUCAAAGGAAUUGACGGGGGCCCGCACAAGCGGAGGAACAUGUGGUUUAAUUCGAUGAUACGCGAGGAACCUUACCCGGGCUUGAACUGGACAUGCCGGGAGGCAGAGACGCCUCCUAUCCCGCAAGGGCAUGUUCGGAGGUGCUGCAUGGUUGUCGUCAGCUCGUGCCGUGAGGUGUCGGCUUAAGUGCCAUAACGAGCGCAACCCUUGUCACUAGUUACCAUCAGGUUAUGCUGGGGACUCUAGCGAGACUGCCACCGCAAGGUGAGAGGAAGGAGGGGAUGACGUCAAAUCAGCACGGCCCUUACGUCCGGGGCGACACACGUGUUACAAUGGUGACCACAGAGGGAAGCCACCCAGCGAUGGGGAGCGGAUCUCGAAAAGUCAUCUCAGUUCGGACUGGAGUCUGCAACCCGACUCCACGAAGUUGGAUUCGCUAGUAAUCGCGCAUCAGCCAUGGCGCGGUGAAUACGUUCCCGGGCCUUGUACACACCGCCCGUCAAGCCAUGAAAGCUGGGGGCGCCUGAAGUCCGCGACCGUAAGGAGCGGCCUAAGGCGAAACCGGUAAUUGGGGCUAAGUCGUAACAAGGUAGCC